GCGUGACGUCAUCAGAUUGCGCCGAUCAACUGAAACGUGCGUCGCGUUGUCCGCAGCGGCGAAUCUGAUCAAUUAAAAAAACAACAGUAAAUCAUCUUUAGACCAAAUCUACAGCAAGUGGAAACAUUUGAGACAAGAUGGAUGACGAAGAGGAAAUCUACAGGCCUUGGAAGAUUCGUAAAACCAUCAUGCAGAGGAGCCAAAGGUGGAAAUCAAGACGAUCAAGAUGUACUGUCAGAGGAUGCAGGAGGAGAACAUCACACGAGCCAUCAUCGUUGCAUGACGCCGUCACCAAACAGGUCCAGGCUGUCCCUGGGACUCAGCUGGUCCUCGUCCACGCUGUCCUGCCUCACCGGGCCCCUCUGCCCGCUGUCCUCCAGCUCCGAGUCCGAGAGCUGCUCGCUGGAGCCACGAGAGCUUCCUACAGGGGUUUGUUGCCGUUACACUCAAAGGCCAAAUCGUCUGAGAAGCGGAGCUCCGUCCCAAUGCGCACAGAGACAAUCGCACUGCCACCAGCCGGUAGAGAGCGGCGAAAACUAUGAAACAAAUAUAUCUGCAUAAAAUAGUUACGCAACUAGCUGCAAAGCUUUUUUGAGUAUACUCAACAGAUGGAUGUUGUGUUGACUCGCGAUAAGAAGUUUGCUCAAAGUGCUGUCCUAAGUCUGUCCCAUGUGACGAGGUACCUAUGUCUGCAGCGACAUGUUUUCCUGAAUAAAAUAAAACUAGGACUAUUUCUUUGCUGGAAUCUUUCAAUGCCGUUUAUAGGUAAAACACAUUUGAAUUUUUCAGUGUGACGGAAAUGGAUUUUCAGGCUUUCCCCCCCCC